GUCAAUUCCACCUUUGAAAUCCCGGUAGUGUCCAGGAGAAUCCGGAUGUCUGGCAGCCUCAGCUUUUCCUCACAACUCUGUGUUUGGUAGGUAGCCAAGUUCACCUAGUGUAGCUCACGAGUGAGGAGUAGACUUUACCACACCCCUACUGCUGGCAGAGGGAGGUGGGCCUGGUUCUCUCAAUAAGAGCCAAUAUCAUACCUCUUCCUGCCACUUUUCCUUGCUGUCCACCCUGAGAAGGGAUGCAAGAUCCCUUCCAUCAGCGACAUCCCUGCUCUGCUGCCUGAGGUGCAGAAAUGUACCCUGCAACUGCGCCGUUGAGACAGUGGCAGCGAGGGCUCUGCACUCUUGCGAAUCAGUAGGCUGCCAGUUGCUGGAGCUCUGAGCUUUGUCAGACAUUUAUCAGCCACGUGCUAUGAAUCCAUUCGUCACCCCAAAGCUUUGACACUGGGCAAGACAUCUUCAUGGAGUGGGAUCACCUUGAAACUCAGCAGCUGCGAGCAUGAAUAUAAUGACAAACCACCUACACUAUGCUGUGUUUAGUGUUUCGCUGUGGGUUUCGUAGGCAGCACUCAGCAGCUUUUGCUCCCUGAUUAAUUUGUCUGUUGGGAUCAAAGAUGCCAUUAUUCACUGGGUUUGCAACUAUACAGUUUGAGAGCUCCUCAGCCUCUCUGAACCUGCCCCAUCCUAUUUGGGAUUUGAACAAUUAAAUAGCACUCAGCAGAAGGGGAGACAUUUUCUUCAAGCUCACGUCCUUAUGCCAUCUGGUGGGCUCAGCAAUAAAUGCAGCAACAGCGGUCCAUGAUCUCUGCAGUUGCAUGAUGUCUGGUGGUUUUUUGUCUUUUUCCUGUAUCACAUGCUUUGCUGAGAGAUUUUGCAACCAUGAGCAAAAUAACAGGGUAGCAUGGAGGCGAAGGGUGGGCUGGAGGUGGAAGAUAGAGAAAUUUAUCUUUCCUUAACAGAGCGCAUGUUUUUAACGGUAUCCCAUUCUUCCUGGUGUGAGUCAGGAUCUCCUCUGCAAAAAGAAAAGGAGGGGAAGAAGGGGGAGGCAUAAUAUUUUAAAAAAACCCUUUGCAGUCAAUCAUGCACAGUUUAACAUCAUUACCCUAAAAAUCUGAUGUGAUUUUGGCCUGUGUCGUCCGAUGUGCUGAUUAAAAACAACCCCCCCCCCCCGAUGAACCCCAUUCAGGUUUGAAGCUUUAUUGGUGGGCAAAAAAGAGUGGGGAGCUGCAGCUGAAAACGGCCUACCUUUAUUGUCCAAAUUAAUGAUAAAAUGCAGUGUACAUCAAGCUGUCAGAGCCAAUAUGCACAUUAUAUGCAACAAGGAGGUAGAAUAUUGCAAUGUUCCACUUCAGUGUGUGUGUGAAAGAUCAUAUUUUUAAAUGCCACCCACACACUCACACACCCUUGAAUGUAGUAAAUUAACAUAACAGAGAGAAGGAUGGGGUUGUUUUCUACAUACAGAAAGCUGUUUGCAUGGGGAGCAUUCAAAAAUACGAACCACAUACUAGAGCGAACCUAGCUGUUUAGUUUUCUCUCAGUUUCUCAAUGUCCAAUUUUAAGUUCAGUUCUCUAUAUUUCUGCAUCAGUUUGUGAUUUAUUUAUUUUUUUAAAAAGCUUCUCAUUAAAAAUUUUCACUGCCUGGGUGCAAAUUUCUCCUAACAGAAACAUUUUGGUGUGCAGUUUUGCCUAAUGUAAUGCAUUUUAAUGCUGUUUUCACUAAUAUAUUCAUUUGUGUACACACUUCCCCCUAAUGAACAAAUCAUUGCACAUGUUAGAUAGCUGCAAUGCAAAAUUUGGGGGGGAAAUGCGAAUUUCAAAAGCAAGCUGCAAAUAUUUCAUUCCACAUAUUUUUUCAGGAAGUGCCAAAUAGGUAGGUUCACAUUAAAAUACAAACUGAUUGGAAUUCCUUCCCCUCUACCUCCAUAAACACUUGUUCCCUGAGGCGGUGCCAUCAGGAAUUCCAUCACUUCAGUCUACUCCUGCUCCUGAGCAAUGUGUCCAUUGGUUUUGUGUCCCCUUUGCCAUGUCACCCUGUCAUGACAAUCUCUUCAUCCCAGUUCUGAGCCACACACAUGCCAUGGAAUUUCCCCAUGACAGUGUUGCCCUUCCUGGAAACCAUACAUGGGCACGGGAGGAACUGCGACUCUCUUGCCAUAUGGAUUCUCUCCAACGUUGUGGGGUGACAGCUACGGGUGACAGGUCAACAAUAACUCACACAGAUCCAGUAAAGUUAACUCUUUAUUCAAAGAAACAAGACAGCUCAGGAGGCCAGGCCUAGUGAACACAGCAACUCUUCCUGGUAGGACUUGACUGUGGGCCUUCCCACAGCUCCCCUGUCCCAGUUCCUUCCCAAGCUAUCAGAGGCUCCUUUGUCUUGCUUGUCUUUAAUCCGCCCUCUUCAUACCUUUUUGGAUUCUGGGAGACCAGUUUGCAGUGUUCUAUUUCCAAGUUGUUCAUAAACUAAGCUGUUCUAAAACCAAGGUACCACUGUAUCUCCAUGCCAGGUAAAAAAUCCACAGCCGAAUUUCUUUUUGCUGUACAGUCAUUAAGACACAGGAGCCGUGCUAGGGGGGGAAUUCAGUCCUAAGUGUAAAAUCUGUUCAUGGAACUUUCAGAAUUUUGGGAUUUGAGCUUGUAGAAACUAAGCAAAACUACUUAGAAGUAACUUCCACUGAAGUGAAUGGUGCUUACUUCCAAAUGUGUGCACAGAAUUACAGUCUUGAGGCUGGAUAUUCAGCUCUGCUUGCUUGCUCCAUUGGCCACAGUCUGAAAAAUCCAUAGCAUCCAUUUGUGCUUUGAGAGGGUCGGAGCCUUAGGCUGCAGUUGUUUGCACAUCUACUCAGAUGUAAGUCCCCCAUCACUUACUUCUGAGUAAGGAUGCAUAGAACCGAGCUGUUCAUUUGCUAGUGCUCUAGCAUAAAAUGUGGUUCAAUGGCACCUCAAGCAUGGGAGCAGGUUAAGACUUGUUCAGCGGGGGUGUGAGAAGAAUGGGGACGGAUGCAUUGUUGGCUGAAUGCAUCCCUCAGCAAUUGCCUUAAUUAACUGGCUUUGCUUCAGGAUUACCACAUUGUGACGGCUGGAAAGGAUGGCCCCAAAUAUCUGCUGGGGAGAUCUUGUGCAUAAGUGGAUAUACAGAACCAAGGAAGAAGCCAGAAUCUUCUUCCCAACACCACUGCCUUGCCUCCAGCAGCUGAUGCCAGCUUCUUUCUGUAGCCUUCUCUAGAGAGCUGCCUUUCAGAAGACACUUUACCUUUCAAUCAUUGAGGGCAGAAGAAUAGGAAGCAAGCCAUACAUAUUCAUGAGGCAUAAUCAUCAACAUUCCAAAAGCGUCUCGAGACACUGGCUUAAAGGAACAAGACCCACUCCAGAAGGGUGAGCGUUGCUCAGAGAGGAUCCUUUUAACACGGGGAUUAAAAUAACCACACAGAAGCAUCUUUUGCUACAUGCCUUAUAAGGUGGUAGGGUUUCCCCAUGUCCUUUUAUUAAGAUGAACCCCACCCCGCAAAAAAAUAAAAAGCUGGGCAUCCUAUACUUGCAGGCCACAUAUGCUGAAGCAAACCAAAAAACAGCUAUCCCUAAAAAUUCACACUUACCCCAAUGCUGUGAUGCAGUUCUCCAGCAAAACAAUGCACAUAUUAGUGAAAAUAAUGCAUAUAUAUAUAUAUGGGCUGGAAGAAGCUCUGGCGCUGCAGAUGAGCACCAGAAGAAUGGACCAAAACAAACGGGGUAUUCUGGGAUCCAAACAGAAGCCUGGAUUGGCUUCUGUGAUCCGGGAUGUCCCUCUUAAAACAGGACACUUGUGUGGGGGGGUAUAUAUAAAUCACAAAUAGAUGCAAAAUGCAGAGAACCAAAUUUAAGACCUGGGAAAUGGGAUACUGAGGGAACUGAAUCUUUGUAUCCCUAAUACUGAGUCAGACCAGUUGGUCCCUGAAGCUCAGUGUUGUCUACACUGACAGAGUUUCGGAACAGAGACUCUCCCAGCCCUGCCAGGAAAGCCAUUGCUCCUGAAACUUGAGAGAAAAGAAAGGAAGGGUCAUUGGACCUGGUCCAGCAGGCUCCUCUUGUUGUUGUUGUUGUUUAGUCGUUUAGUCGUGUCCGGCUCUUCGUGACCCCAUGGACCAGAGCAUGCCAGGCACUCCUGUCUUCCACUGCCUCCCGCAGUUUGGUCAAACUCAUGUUGGUAGCUUCGAGAACACUGUCCAACCAUCUCGUCCUCUGCCGUCCCCGUCUUCUUGUGCCCUCCAUCUUUCCCAACAUCAGGGUCUUUUCCAGGGAGUCUUCUCUUCUCAUGAGGUGGCCAAAGUAUUGGAGCCUCAGCUUCACGAUCUGUCCUUCCAGUGAGCACUCAGGACUGAUUUCCUGAAGAAUGGAUAGGUUUGAUCUUCUUGCAGUCCAUGGGAUUCUCAAGAGUCUCCUCCAACACCAUAAUUCAAAAGCAUCAAUUCUUCGGCGAUCAGCCUUCUUUAUGGUCCAGCUCCUCUUAUGUUCUAAUAAUAAUAAUAAUAAUAAUAAUAAUAAUAAUAAUUUAUUUAUAUCCCACCCUCCGCAGCCAAAGCCGGGCUCAAAGAGGCUAACAACAGUAAAAAUAACACAGGUUACAUAAAAUCACAAUCAAUUGUAAUAUAUUCUAAAAUCAAUUCAUUCUAAAAUCAAUUCAGAGUCAAAUUAAUGGCAACCAUUGGGCUAGAGUUCUAUGAUUACAGAAGGAGGGGGUCAGACUGUGCCUUGGCCAAAGGCCUGGUGGAACAGCUCUGUCUUGCAGGCCCUGCGGAAAGAUGUCAAGUCCCGCAUAUGUGGGAAGAGGUGACCUUUAUAGUCCUCUUCUCAGCCUACCAAGUGUUUCGCUACCACUGAUUUUGCUGCUGCUGCUCCUCUGAGCAGAUGGUGUCUACAACUCUCUGGGACAGUGGUUUUUGGUGGCACUGAGGAGAGAGUGCUGUUGCUGGCCGCCUCCCUAUCACUCUUGUUGCCAGUGCAAGAAAUGGCAUAAGGGAGGUCCUGGGAAGCAUCUGUUCCUUAGGAUCAUUAUCAAAUCACUUACCCAUUACACUCUUGGCAUUUCCUGCAUAUAAAGUAAAGGUAAAGGGAACCCCUGACCACUAGGUCCAGUCGUGGCCGACUCUGGGGUUGCGGCGUUCAUCUCGCUUUAUUGGCUGAGGGAGCUGGCGUACAGCCUCCAGGUUAUGUGGCCAGCAUGACUAAGCCGCUUCUGGCGAACCAGAGCAGCACACGGAAACACCUUUUACCUUCCUGCUGGAGUGGUACCUAUUUAUCUACUUGCACUUUGAUGUGCUUCCGAACUGCUAGGUUGGCAAGAGCAGGGACCAAGCAACAGGAGCUCACCCCGUCAUGGGGAUUCGAACCGCCGACCUUCUGAUCGGCAAGUCCUAGGCUCUGUGGUUUAAUCCACAGCGCAGAUAGCUGUAUGUUAUAUAUCACUAAUGAUAAGCAGGCAAGAGAAACCCAUCCCAUGUAACCUCGCUGGUAAUCUGAUGUUAGUGCAGGGCUAUGGAAUUUUGUGGUUCAGACUGCUGCUAAAAUAUGCUUUCUAUUCAUACUCUUCUAUUAAGUUUUAAGAAGCAUAGCUGCACUAUCUGUUAUUUGUUACGAAACGUUGCAUCUCCUAGCUGAAGUCCUGGGAUCCGGGAAAGGACACUGAGAGCUCCAAGUAUCUUUGAAAUUUAGCAUCUGUACUCAGAUUUCGACAAGGAGAUUAAAGACCAGGAUCUUGUCAGAAUUGCUCAUGUUGACAAAAAGCAUGCGGAGAACUUGAAACAGCUUUUGCAGGGCUGUUUUGGGCUUAGGGACCCACCAAAUCCCCAAGCAUGUAUGCCUAGUCAGAAACGUCUUACUGCUCAAGCUUUUUCCUCUUAACUCAGUCUAGCUUUUUCCCAGGGUGGUUUCGAAAUAAAAACUUUGUUCUGACUUUGUACGUGCAGACAGAGUAGUCCUAAACCUGUUUACUUGGAAGUAAGGCCGUCUGAUUUCAAUGGGACUGACCCACUUGUAGUUAUACAGGGAACUCAGGCCUGAGCUAUGCAAAGAGCCCAGUGAAUCAGGCUCUAGGAACUGCCUUCUAUGCUUUUGAGUCUUAUUCUUACUAGUUAAGAUGCAAGAAGUUGCUGACCUGGAGAGAAAACGUGAAAAUUGCAAUAAUAGGUUAAUAGCUACUUUCAAAAGGAUUACAAUAUCUAAUUUGUUUGGCUUCUGAUUGCUUAAAUAAAGAUUAACCACCAGAAAAGAUACUGAGGUAGAUUUUUUAAAAACAUGAUUAUGCAAGUCCCAUGAAUUCAUCUUGAUUUGGUUGCACAAAGCUUACACCAAGAUUAGACUAUGCCUGAUCUUAUUCAAUAUCCAUUCUCAUUUGGUUGGGGUAAGGUCAUACAGCAAUCAGCAUUUAACUUGCAUUUAUCCUGAUUUGUUUGCAAGGUAUUUCUAUGCCUCCCCUGUGAAUUGUUCAUUUGUUCUACUCUUUUCAAUACAUUUCGCCCUCACUUUCCUAAACGCAAAAAGUCAAUUUCUUGUUUGAAGAUCAGCAAAGCAAUCCCAGAAGGUGUCCUGGCUUGUGCCAGGGUGCCAGUCUUUAAAGAGGACAUUCUGGGAUCCAAACAGAAGCUGGGAUUGGCUUCUAUGAUCUGGGGUGUCCCGCUUAAAAUGGGACAGUCGGGUGUGUGUGGAAUCGCCUCUUCGGCACAAUUAUUAAAGAAGCCCCAUCUUCAUUUUUCUCCUGAUCACCUACACUUCCUAUUACAUAAUUUGUUGUUGCUGUAGCAGAAGUGUUCUUUGCAAGAUCUUCUUUCACCGGCUCUGUGACUUCUUGGAAAUGAGUCCAGAUUGUCCACUGCCUCUAAAUGUCGCAGAUGGCAAAUCUAACACUUCUGAGAAAACGACAGCGUGAUCUCAUGUUGAGACUAGGUACUUGGAUAUAGUUAUUCUUCUUCCAAGGGUCAAAUGCGAAAUUCAAAUCUUACAUUUUGUGCUUGGGGAGCCAUAUUGGUGAGAAUUAGAUAUGAAUAGGGCAAGAAAUGCAUCUUCUUAAAACAGCUUUUGAAAGAAAAACCACCGAACUAACAGCUUCGUAAGCUCCUACGAAAGCUUACUUGGCAGUGAGUUCAUUGGAUGCAGUGGGGCUUACUCUCCAGUAAAGCACAGGAUUGUGUUUCUGUUUUCUUCACUGGGUGCCAAAGGUGAUCUCUCCCAAGCUCUGCUACUGUUUCUAGUCAGGAGUGUGAAAUUGAAGAAUUAAUUGAAUACCGUUCCUGCAUGCAUAAAACAGAAGUUUAAAUAUCAGCAUACUUGCUGGAAUUUCACGCAUAACUGAUCCAGAUUAUACACUCCAACAUUUAUGAGACUGAAACGGGUGCACUCGUAUUAAAUUAGCAACUCCCAACAUCUGGGAUUUGAUAUAUAUCCCCCUACCCACCCCAUGACUGUUAAUUUCAAAACAUGCAGCUUACAGGAAUCAACAUCGUUGCCAUAUUUAGACUGCAAUUCUAAACAGAGUUAUUAGGUUGUAAGACCCACUUGACAUAGCGGAGCUCGCCUCUAAGUCAGGGGUGGGGGACCUUGGCUUUAGCCCUUCUGCACCUCUCUAUCAAUUUCCCCCCCCUGAUGCUCUCAUGGACUGAAAUUCCACUUUCUUACCAUCUGCAACACACCUAGCCACCUGAGAUCCAGCGCCGAGGGCCUUCUGGUGGUUCCCUCAUUGCGAGAAGUGAGGCUACAGGGAACCAGACAGAGGGCCUUCUCGGUAGUGGCGCUCGCCCUGUGGAAUGCCCUCCCAUCAGAUGUCGAAGAGAUAAACAACUACCUGACAUUUAGAAGACAUCUUAAGACAUGUUCAGGGAAGUUUUUAAUAUUUAACGCUGUACUGUUUUUAACACUUGAUUGGGAGCCGCCCAGAGUGGCUGAGGAAACUCAGCCAGAUGGGCGGGGUAUAAAUAAUAAAUUAUGAUGAUGAUGAUGAUGAUGAUGAGAUGCUUUUCCCCGUCCCUCUGUCUCCUCCUCCCCUGUCCUUGAUUAAGAUCAGCAAACAUACAGGCGCUUUUUCACUUCACUCAGCAGUCCAUAGGGUCCUUCCUCAGACUGAGGCAUUGGGGCAAACCGACCUCAGAGAGCCACCACAUACAGCCACUGGCUGCUUCAUUUAAGCAGUCUUCGCGGCAGUAGCAGUGCAGACCCUCUCCCACAAUCCUUCAUCCCAAAGAAAGGCCUUUCCCCAGAGCAAGGCAUGGGUGGGGGGGCAAGAACAGACAGGCUGGGGGAGGCAAAGCUGCGCAUGGCCAUGUAGUAGGUCAGGAGGUUGGCUCUGAGGUAGGCUGAGAGCCAGUCCACUACUCCUCCUGACACAAAUGUCUCCAUUUGCCUAAUGGGAGCGCUGGCCCUGCUCAUCUGCCAUGGUGGCAUCGAAGCAGAGUAGGCAAAGCAGCCCCCUUCUCUGUUGACAUGGAGAGCGAGAGUCCUGGAUCGUGGCGCUUGAUGCCCUGUUUUGAGACCUGCCCUUGACAGGUGCCAAAUGUCCCUGGUGAGAACAGCAGCCCUGCUGCUUCAAAUCUGUAUAUAUUUCGUGCCUCUCCUAGCCUUGGUCAUUGAACACUAUAACCAAGCAGCCCUCUUUUCUUAUAGCCCCGACACCAAAGCUCUUUGCCAGCAGCUUCCCUGGAGCUCGGUGCAUUGUGUGGGCACAAUAGAUGAGAGAUGAAAGUCCGCAGGAAUCCUCUUGAGAGGGAAGCAUUAAGGAUAUGACUUUUACAAACAUCAAGGUGGUUUAGACUGUUUGACAAGGAUGAUAUUUCUAUAUUGCUUUUCAGCACUGGCCUGGCACCUAGAAGACACCGAGCUUAAAUUUUUAUCAUUUUGGUGUCCUUUCCCACAUAAAUAACUUUGUGUCUGAUAAAUCUGAAUCUGCAGAACUAGUUCUCCUGCACAAUAAGGGUAUCCAAUUAUUAUUUCCCCCUAUAGCCAACUUCCAUUUCUUGAAAGAUUAUUCUAUUCUCCAGACAGAGGUUUCGGGGACAAGAUUGAAUUUCCCCUUCUAAAUCAACACCUUUACACGUAGCCCUUACAACAGGCACGGGGGAUAUUUGGCCCUCCAGAUGUUGCUGAACUACAACUCCCAUCAGCCCCAGCAAGGAUGGCCAAUGACGAAAGGUUGAAGGAGUUGGGUUAGAGAAUUAAGAGGCGAUAAGAGAGCUGUCUUCAAAUAUUUGAAGGGCUUUCACAUAGAUCAAGGACAGCCAUCAUGGUGUGCUCUAGAUGUUGUUAGACUAUAAUUCCCAUGAGCCAAUGGUCAGAGAAGGUUGUGUAAGCAGGGCAUGACGGACAGACAGCAUUUUUCAUUCCUGCUUUAUCACCUCAGUAUAUACAGGAAGCUAGUCAAAUGGUUACCAACAAAACACACAUCCUGGUGUUGUGCUAAUAUGGCUGUCUGGAUCAGGUACUUUCAGUGUUUUCAGACCCAGGACCCACUUUUAAUCCACUUUAAUCCAAACAUUUCUUAAAGGUGGUCGUAGGGCUGUUGUUGUGACCCACUUUGGAUCAGGUGAUGGCUAUGAAUAUGUGGGGCAGGUGGGGGGUGAAGAGAGGACACCAAUCACCUCUUUUAUGAACAGUUAUCUUGCUGUGAGCAUCUGUAAAUAGACAACCCUUUGAUCUGUCUAUAAUUUGUCUGCAGAUGACGUUGGCGAAAGAAGCUACUCUAAGGAUUACUGUUUGAUAACUUAAUUAGCCGUUCUUCCAAGUCAAGUACAGGGGCUUGAAAACCCCUUUUUCUCAUCAGGCAACACAGAUAUAUGCUUAGAAGCGUUGGCACGAGGCUGGAAUAAAGCUAAUGCCUACAAGUUGCUUUUAUUCCAUUCUCAUGCGUAUGCAGUGCUUUAUUCCCUAGGAAAAAUAGGUGCCCGUACUCUCCGUGAAGUUGUUACCGUAAGUAAAAAGACGUAGGGCUACCGGUACUGCAGAUCCUUGAGUACCCCCUGGAAAAAAGUGCUGUGCCUAUGCAAAUGCAGAGAUGCCCAAGGGACUUAAUUAGGGCAGGGGGAAGGAUUUGCUUCCUCACCUUACACAGCAGGUGGGUGACCAGUAUAUCUGUAAGAGGUGCCAGCUGCAGAGGGUUGUAUUUUUCUGGGUGGCUUUUAAUCUUAGCCGGCCUUGAAAGGCUGGCCUACCUGCGCUGCAUAGCAAACAGACAGGUUUUUUUAUUUUUCUAAACCAAGAGACUUUUCCUCAGUGAUUAAAAAGGGAAGUCAUGUUCAGGGAUGAUCUUGCCACUAGGUAUGAAUGAGCUGUUACACAACUCCCUGGCAGCAUGAAUAGAGGAAUUGUGUGGUUUUCCUGUACUGUGAAGCCAAGCUUGUUAUAAUAAUAAUAAUAAUAAUAAUAAUAAUAAUAAUAAUUUAUUAUUUAUUAUUUAUACCCCGCCCAUCUGGCUGGGUUUCCCCAGCCACUCUGGGUGGCUUCCAACUGAAUAUUAAAAACAGUACAGCAUCAGACAUUAAAAACCUCCCUAAAGAGGGCUGCCUUCAGUUGUCUUUUAAAAGUAAAAUAGUUGUUUAUUGCUUUGACAUCUGCUGGGAGGGCCUUCCACAGGGCAGGCGCCACUACCGAGAAGGCCCUCUGUCUGGUUCCCUGUAACCUUACUUCUCGCAAUGAGGGAACCGCCAGAAGGCUCUCGGCGCUGGAUCUCAGUGUCCGGGCUGAACGAUGGGGGUGGAGACGCUCCUUCAGGUAUACAGGACCGAGGCCGUUUAGGGCUUUAAAGGUCAGCACCAACACUUUGAAUUGUGCUCAGAAACAUACUGGGAGCCAAUGCAGAUCUCUCAGGACCGGUGUUAUGUGGUCCCGGCGGCCACUCCCAGUCACCAGUCUAGCUGCCGCAUUCUGGAUUAAUUGCAGUUUCCGGGUCACCUUCAAAGGUAGCCCCACGUAGAGCGCGUUGCAGUAGUCCAAGCGGGAGAUAACUAGAGCAUGCACCACUCUGGCAAGACAGUCUGCGGGCAGGUAGGGUCUUAGCCUGCGUACCAGGUGGAGCUGGUAGACAGCUGCCCUGGACACAGAAUUAACCUGUGCCUCCAUGGACAGCUGUGAGUCCAAAAUGACUCCCAGGCUGCGCACCUGGUCCUUCAGGGGCACAGUUACCCCAUUCAUGACCAGGGAAUCCCCCACACUCGCCCGCCCCCUGUCCCCCAAAAACAGUACUUCUGUCUUGUCAGGAUUCAACCUCAAUCUGUUAGCCGCCAUCCAUCCUCCAACAGCCUCCAGGCACUCACACAGGACCUUCACCACCUUCACUGGUUCUGACUUAAAGGAGAGGUAGAGCUGGGUGUCAUCUGCAUACUGAUGAACACCCAGCCCAAACCCCCUGAUGAUCUCUCCCAGCGGCUUCAUAUAGAUAUUAAAAAGCAUGGGGGAGAGGACGGAACCCUGAGGCACCCGACAAGUGAGAGCCCAGGGGUCUGAACACUCAUCCCCCACCACCACUUUCUGGACAUGGCCCAGGAGAAAGGAGCGGAACCACCGUAUAACAAUGCCCCCAGCUCCCAGCCCCUCUAGACGGUCGGUCCAGAAGGAUGUUAUGGUCGAUGGUGUCAAAGGCCGCUGAGAGAUCCAGCAGAACUAGGAAACAGCUCUCACCUUUGUCCCUAGCCCGCUGGAGAUCAUCAACCAGCGCGACCAAGGCAGUUUCAGUCCCAUGGUGAGGCCUGAAUCCCGAUUGGAAGGGAUCCAAAUGGUCCGCAUCCUCCAGGCGUGCUUGGAGUUGUUUGGCAACCACCCGCUCAAUCACCUUGCCCAAGAAUGGUAAAUUUGAGACUGGGCGAUAGUUGGCCAAAUUGGCUGGGUCUAAAGAUGUUUUUUUAAGAAGCGGUUUAAUGACCGCCUCUUUCAGCAGGUCUGGGAAGGCUCCCUCACAGAGGAGGUGCAAGCUAGGUGUCUCCAGGAGCAUCUCCGCCACGACCUGAAGCAGCUCGGGCAGGGAAUCCUUGGUGCAGCAGGGAGGUCGGUACACCAAAAGGAAUCCUGUACUGCCUCUAUUGCCCAACUUCCAGAACAUGCACUCAGAGAACUGGGUCUUCCCAAUAGGACGCCUGGUGCAGACGAAUGACUUCCUAAAAAUCACUGCAAACCCCCCUCCCCGCCCACAUGACCUGGGUUGCUGUGCGUAAGAGAAACCUGGUGAGCAAGCAGCGGCAAGGACAGGCCCAUCUGCUUCAUCCAACCAGGUCUCUGUCACACAUGCCAGGUCAAAUCCUCCAUCCACAAUCAGGUCGUGGAUGGCAGUGGUUUUAUUCAUCAUUGACCUGGCAUUGCACAGCAACACUUUCAGGUCAUGUGGGUUUCCCUUGCUGAUUCCAGUAUCCUUCCGGUCAGGACCAGACCUGGAGGCAGGGAUAGUCCUCAAACAACAACUAAACCUGCCUCCUCGGUAAUGACAUGGUCUGGUCUUAGCGUAACUCCUCCUCCUGCCCGUGAUCACUGAGAUCGGGUGUCCCAAUACAUUCCCUCCUGUGGAACCUGCCCCAGCCAUUCUAUUGGCCGAGGCCCACUCCCAGGCAGCCCUGACCCUUCCCCUUAAAAGGCAAAAUACAUAUAAUAACUUAACAGAAUAAUAAAAAUAGAAGCACAGCAAAAAACUAUAGUGCUAAAAUUAAACUACUCCCCACCCUAACUAAAUACUUAACCAACCGCAAGCAGAAAUAAAAUUAUAAAAUUAUAAAACAUUAUAAACAACAACAACCACCAUUUAAGGUGCAGCAAAUUAAAAGCAGUUAAAACAUUAAAAACCAUUUUGUCACUUGCUGCAGGUAGCUGCUCAGGCCUCUAAACUGUAGUGGUGAGUGCAGGCCCCGCCCCCUAGGCCAGAUAGAAUUGGCAGGAGAGGGAGCGGUCCUCCCAGCACUCACGCAGGCAGCAACAGCAGCAGUGUCCCAGAGGCCUUGAUGGAGGCCCUCAAGCUGUGGCGAUGAGUGCAGGCUCCGCCCCCUAGGCCAGAUGGAGUUAGCAGGAAAGGGAGCGGCCCACCCAGCACUCACCAGAGCAGCAGCAGCAGCAGCAGUAGUGUCCCGGAAGCCUCUCUCAUGCCUCUUAAGCUGUGGCAAUGAGUGCAGGCUCCGCCCCCUAGGCCAGAUGGAGUCGGCAGGAAAGGGAACGGCCCACCCAGCACUCACCAGAGCAGCAGCAGCAGUAGUAGUUAAAACUGUUUGGAGAAUGGACCCUUCUUUUACUGUUCCCAUGCUUCUGUUUAACACUUGCGUUAAGUUAUUUCUGCUUUUCUGACUCCGAUUAAUUUUGAUACUGGCAAACUCUUGGUUCAACCACACCAACAGUUUUUGGGGUGUGUUUUAUACCACAAUGAUAUUCCCAGUGUAUGGUGUGGUAGAAUGUAGACUUCAGAUAAUGUUUGUGGCUCUGGCAUCAGGUGAAGUGUGCUUGACAACAUCCAAACACCCAGAGUCAGAAAACAGUAAUUCAGAGAAGGUAAAAAAUUUCUCUGCAGGAAAUAUAUGCCCUUGCAUGUUGAGUAAACAACACAAGUUAUGUUCCUUGAAUAAAUUAUGAUUUUUAUUUUCAAUUGCAAACCACGAAAAACUUAUAGUUUAAAGUAAAAAUGUCCAGAAAACACUGCAAACUCUCUAGAAUAAAACUGAGACAGUUUUGCAGGGUGUUUUUCCAUUAAGAAACCCAACUUUGGUUAAUGCCCCCAAACGACGCUAUAUGGGUUGUGCCAACCUACACACUUCUGACACCCCACAAACUUCUUGACAGGUUUCACUUAUCAUUUUUUUCCAUGGGGGAAAAAAAAAGGGCUAUUUUUACAACCCCAAUCUGCUUACAUUGGCUGGGGUAAAUAAAUAUACCCCAAUGGCAAAACUCAGUGCAUUUCUAGGACAUUUUACGAUAUAGGUGGUUUUCUUGUUUGCAGAAGAAAAACAGUAAAUGGUAACUGGCUGAAACCUGGGGGUGUUGUACAGGUGACAAAUUUGUAACAGUGCCCUAGAAAGACUACCCUGUAGUUCUACUUAUGCAUGCACUCCACAAUUAAAAGUGCAUCUGGGGUAUGUUUCUUGCCCACAAAAUUGGACGAAGGUUAAACUUCUACCCCUUCAUUCUGGCAGUCUCAAUCUAUCCUGAGCGUCUCUACAGGUUUCUCUUUCUUUCUUAAAUGGCAGGAGCCAUUCUGAUCACGAGCCUCUCACAGUGUCAUGUCCAGUUGCACCCUUAACCGGUGCCUAGAAUAAUAAUAAUAAUAAUAAUAAUAAUAAUAAUAAUAAUAAUAAUAUCUUUAUUGUCAUUGCCCCCUUCGGGGACAACGAAAUUACUUGACUGCUCCAAGUAAGAACCCAUCGUUGGGGGAGUUAAUGGGAGCUAGUUUGUCUUGGCAAAAGGAGUGAAAAGUCCCUGCUGGACUUCCGGGGUGGCGCCAUCAGUAAUGGCGGAUUCCCUCUGACUCCGAGGGGAUCGGCUCUGCGGGAAUCGGGUCUGCACCGCUACGGCGAAGCGGGGACCCUUCAAAAAUCACAGGCGGGUGAAGCCUGUGACCGUGGGACUUGGCGGGCACCUUUUGCGCCCCCCAACUUGCAAAGGAGCCCGACUACAGGUUCCGGAGUGAAGCGGGGAAGCGGCACGGUGCUGUGAGUCAACUGCUUCUUCCGUGGAGCGAAGCCGCACAGCCGUUACCGGAGAGCGUUACCUUUUUUCUGUGACAAUUUGGCUACAAAACAACGAUCCGUGAGUAGGUUAAUUUGGGAAAUAAAGGAGGAAAAAAAGAAGUAAUUGGAUACCGAAGCGGAGAGGCAUAAACAGGAAGUCUGCCUUCCGUUCUUUGUAAAUAGAGGAAAGCAAUGAACUUGUAAGCUAAAACCUUGAAAGACGCUUGAAAAGGACUAUAAUUCUAUCAUCUAAAACAAGCGAUUUCCCCCCUUACUGCAGGAGAGGAGGGGGGAAAGGUCUGAACUGUAUUUCCCUGCAAAAAGAGAGAAAAGGAAGCUAAGAAUCCACUGCUUAAACCUGGGAACGGACUGCCAAUGAAAAAUAGAAUGCCGUACUGUGAAAUGCGCUGUUGGUGAAAGUAUUCUUUGACAGCUAACUCCGCAAGUCUGAUACAAGUGAGAUACAAUCUUUCUGGCUGGCUUCCCUUGGUUUCAAAGUAACGGGAAAAUAACUAAAAUUAAAACUGUCUUCUAUUUUGUGAGCUGGGGGACUAAAAGAAAAAGGACACUUAUUUUAAAGUAACAACUGUUGCCUGUUACUGUGUCCCCCUAGAGGAAGUUUGAGAUUGUUACAACAACAACUGGGCCAGGGGAAUUUUCCACUUCAUAACAAACUCUGAUCGUGGGACUGACCUUGAGUAUUAUCUAGACUGUUAUGGCAAAUGGAAAAGAGAAAAUAGAUUUGCUUCAGGAAAAAGCAACGAGGUCUGGCAGAGUGUUUCGCACAGACGUUGGGCUGCAGCGAAGAGCAUCAACAUCUGGUCCUCCUGGUUUAUUGAGAGACUAUUUUGAGAGACUAUUUUGAAAUAAAUAUGAACACCAAUGUUGAAAAAAGAGUAAUCUGGGAUGCAAGCAAAGCUGUUAUGAGAGGGUUCUUGAUACAACAGAAUGCAUUAAAGAAGAGAAUCCAAAAUGAAAAGAAGGAUAAAAUAUUGGAUAAAAUAAAGGAAAGUGAAAAGAAAUUGAGAGCAAAACCAAAGUCGCAAGAGAUAUUGAGAGAAAUAAAGUUAUAUCAAGUACAAUAUAUGAAAAUGAUGUAUCAGGAGAUAGAAUGGAAAAUUAAACAAAUGAGAUAAAAGACAUUUGAGUCGGCCAAUAAAUGUGGGAAAUUAUUGGCCUGGCAAAUGAAAAAAAGACAAAAAUUAAAUACUGUUACAAAUUUAGAAGUGGAAGGAAGGAAUAUACAGAACCCAGUUGAGAUUAGAAACUGUUUCCAGAGGUACUUUAAACAACUAUAUACACAAGGGCCACAGAAAGAAAUUGACGUAGACCGAUUUUUGAAAACAAAUGGAUUACAAAAAUCUCUCAAGAAAAUAAAUUAAUGUUGAACUAUAAAAUAACUGAACAGGAGGUAGAAGGUGCCAUUCAGAAUAUGCAACUGGGUAAAUCUCCAGGACUGGAUGGACUGACCUCUAAAUAUUACAGAUCCUUAAAAGAAUGGUUGGUACAACCUUUGAAGGAAGUCUGUAACGAAAUAAUGGGUGGGAAAAGGGCACCAGAGUCGUGGAAAGAAGCGUAUAUUACACUUGUACCGAAAACAGAAACUGAAAAGACGCAACUUAAGAACUACCGCCCCAUCUCAUUGCUUAAUGUGGAUUAUAAAAUCUUUGCAGACAUUUUGGCUAAAAGACUAAAAAAGGUGUUAAUGGAAGAGAUUCAUAAAGACCAAGCAGGCUUUCUCCCGGGUAGACACUUGUUGGAUAAUGUGAGAAACAUAAUCAACAUCUUAGAAAAAUUAGAAGUGAACAUAAAUACUAAGGCAGUUUUGAUAUUUGUGGACGCGGAGAAAGCUUUUGACAAUAUUUCCUGGAGCUUUAUGAAGAAGAACCUACAGGGGAUGGGGGUAGGCCAAGGCUUUGAAAACGGUAUAAGUGCAAUUUAUUCAGAACAAAAGGCUAAAUUAAUUGUAAAUAAUGUGGUGACGGAAGAAUUUAAGAUAGAAAAAGGGACACGACAAGGUUGCCCAAUCUCCCCAUUGCUUUUUAUAUCGGUCCUGGAGGUUUUGUUGAAUAUGAUUAGAAGGGACCAGUUGGUUAAAGGUAUACAAGUCGGAGCCAAACAGUACAAAUUGAGAGCAUUUGCAGAUGACUUGGUAUUGACGUUACAGGAGCCAGAAUCUAGUACCAAAAGGGUUUUAGAACUGAUUCAAGAAUUUGGUCAGGUUGCAGGAUUUAAACUGAAUAAGUUAAAAACUAAGGUUUUAGAGAAAACUUAACACCGAUUGCGAGAGAGAGGUUUCAGAAUGAGACAGGUUUAACAGUGGUUAAGAAAGUGAAAUACCUGGGGAUUAACAUGACAGCAAAUGGGAAUUUAUUUAAAGACAAUUAUGAAAAAUGCUGGGCUGAAGUGAAAAAAGAUUUAGAAAUUUGGUCAAAUUUGAAGCUUUCAUUGCUGGGCCGUAUUGCUGCGAUAAAAAUGAAUGUAUUGCCUAGAAUGUUGUUUCUGUUUCAAACAUUGCAAAUUUUGGACAAAAUGGACUGUUUCAAGAAGUGGCAGAGAGAUAUCUCUAGAUUUGUCUGGCAGGGCAAGAAGCCUAGAAUAAAAUUUAAAAUACUAACAGAUGUAAAGGAAAGAGGUGGAUUUGCCCUGCCAGACCUUAAACUUUAUUAUGAAUCAGCAGCUUUUUGCUGGUUGAAAGAAUGGCUGCUUCUUGAAAACGCAGACAUUUUGGAUUUAGAAGGUUUUAAUAAUGUAUUUGGAUGGCAUGCAUACUUGUGGUAUGACAAGGUCAAAGCACAUAAAGCAUUUAAAAACCAUAUUGUCAGGAAAGCAUUGUUCAAUGUUUGGAUAAGAUAUAAGGACUUAUUGGAAAACAAAACCCCAAGGUGGCUGUCACCGAUGGAAGCGAAAGCUCUGAAAAAGCUCAAUAUGGAGGUCAAAUGGCCGAAAUAUUGGGAAAUUUUGGAACAGGAUAGAGAUAGACUGAAACUGCAGAGUUUUGAGAAAUUAAAAAACAAAGUGCGAGACUGGCUUCAUUAUUAUCAGAUAAUGGAGGCAUAUAAUUUGGACAAGAAAAUUGGCUUCCAGGUGGAAAAAUCAAAAUUAGAAACAGAACUGCUAGAACCCAAAACUAAGAAUCUGUCAAAGAUGUAUAACUUGCUGUUGAAAUGGAAUACACAGGAUGAAACGGUGAAAUCAGCUAUGAUUAAAUGGGCACAAGAUGUUGGACAUAACAUAAUGAUGGCUGACUGGGAACAGUUAUGGACCACAGGUAUGAAGUUUACGGAAUGUAAUGCCUUAAGAGAGAAUAUUAUGAAAAUGAUAUACAGGUGGUACAUGACACCAGUCAAGCUUGCAAAAAUCUAUCAUUUGCCCGAUAAUAAAUGUUGGAAAUGUAAGGAAACUGAAGGUACAUUCUUUCACCUUUGGUGGACGUGCCCAAGGAUUAAGGCUUUCUGGGAGAUGAUUUAUAAUGAAAUGAAAAGGGUAUUUAAAUAUACCUUUCUGAAGAAACCAGAGGCCUUUCUCCUGGGCAUGGUCGGCCAAAUGGUGCUAAAGAAGGAUAGAACUUUCUUUAUGUAUGCCACAACAGCAGCAAGAAUACUUAUUGCAAAGUAUUGGAAGACACAAGACCUACCCACUCUGGAAGAAUGGCAGAUGAAGGUGAUGGACUACAUGGAAUUGGCCGAAAUGACUGGCAGAAUCCGAGACCAGGGAGAAGAGUCGGUGGAAGAAGACUGGAAGAAAUUUAAAGACUAUCUACAGAAAUAUUGUAAAAUUAAUGAAUGUUAGAAUGAUGUUAGAAUGAAGUUAAGUGGUUUAAGCAGCAAUGCUAUAAAGACGUAUGUAAAAAUGGACAGUUAACAGGUGAAAAUCCAAAGUUAUAGUAUAUUAAGUUAAAGGACUAAGAGAAAAUAAAGAGGGAAAGAAAUUGCUGAAUUAACUAACUGAAUUGGAAUACAAAAAAGGGAGGUAUGAGGAGGUCAGGGAAGUAAGGAAAUGAAUGUAAGGCAUGGAAGACUGAUGUAUUUUUAAGUGUUUUUUAUUCUCCCCCCCCCCCGUAUUUUGUAUUUUGUAUUUUUCUUGUAUUUUUACUUUUGUCUUUUUUUUUCUCCUCCUUUUCUUUACUUAUGUAAUUCUUCUUUUUGAAAUCUUAAUAAAUAUCAUUUAAAAAAAAGAAAAGAAAAGAAAAGUCCCUGCGAGCCUCUUCGGUUUGGUCCGUUGGCUCCAGUGUUGGGCAGAUCAGUAAGCAGCAACGUCUCGGUACUGCGAUUUGCCUCGAGACAAGGAAAGGACAGAUUUCCAGAUAAUUAAGCCAAGAGUCCACGCCAGACUGUUCUUUCCGAGCCAUUUGCUUCCUCUUCGCCACCAGACUGCCUUUCAAGGCGCUGUCUUUUUUCUGUAAACAUCCACUGCUGGGACAAACCCAGAGAUAGCCCUGAAGGAGGGCUGUGUGUGGUCUAGCGGUGCUCCCUGCAAGUUUAACAGGAGCUGCUGCUGCUUCGGAUACGGAGUUCCCCUACUGUUAAUAUCCCUCUGCAGAAGACAGAUCCUGUGAAGGACCAGCAAUAGGAGCUGUAGGGGGACCUGAAGCACCAAGGCCAAACGCGGCCUCCAGACCUCUCUGCCUGGCCCUUGGAACCCUCUCCAAACCACCCACUCCAUCUCCCCUGGUCACACUAGCCUUGCAUUGCCAUCUGCUUGCAUGCUUUUUGCCAAGCUGGAAUGUGUGCUUGAACUCUGAUCGUGCUUCUUGCUUGCCCGGACAGAGGCUAGAGAGGGAAGAGUGAGCAUGUAGGAGCUAGUCUACAAAGAUAAAAUUCACAUUUGUUGCCCUGCCCAAGCUUGCCACUUGCCACUCAACUGCCACUGGCAUGCGGUCCCUGGAAGGUUACCCAGAGGAGAAUGUGGCCCUCAAGCUGAAAAGGGCUCCCUGCCAGGAGGGAGCCAGCAGUAAAUCACACCAAGAGAGGCAGAGUUAACUCUUUAUAUGUAAAACAGGAGUGUCAGGCCUAAUGAGCACAGCAACUCCCAGCAGGUCUUGCUCCCCCAUGAAGCAGUUGCUGAGACUGAAGGACACUGCCUUCCCACAGCUAUCUAAUCCCCUCCUCUCCAGGGUUUCCCCCAAGCAAUCUGAGACUGCACCUCUGCCCUUUUCAUGCCUCUUCUGGUUCUGGGAGAGCAGGGGAAAGAUAAGCUUGUCACAGCAGGAGGGGGAGACACCAUGACUUCUUCACCAGACUAAUCCAUCUGUGCCUCUUGGCUUCCUUCCUCUCCUGCGUCUGAUUCUGGACUUCUGUCUGCCACAGACUCCGCCAGCUCACUAAGCCCUGUUACCUCUUCAGCUGCGGACACCUCCUCCUCCCAGUCUUCUCCAUCUGACCACUCAUGAUCAUCCCACCACCACUUCCCUGACUCUGAGCCUUCUUCCCUUGGUGCCUUCCACCACUCCUCUGCAUCUAGCCAGUCCAUGACAGUCCCCUUCCCUGCUGUAGGGCAAACUGUUCAAUCAGAAUAGUAGAUGGUGAGGGAUUCUUCCUGGUGCCCCUGCAUUCGAACACCCAGUUCAUUGUUUCCUUCAUUUCAAGCUGCUCUGGGUGGAGGCCUCUCAACUCCCGUUGCCCCUCGAUAGAGAAUGACUCAGCGCAGAAUGCUUCUGCCUUUGAUUUCCAGGACAAUGGAUCUUGUCGCCUUUUAUGCCUUUCAGGGAUGAUGUUCCAGGCAGAGGUUUCCCCUCCUCUUGGCUUUGCUUAUUCAGUCUGUCAGACUGCGAAAGAGGACUGAUUUCUGCGUUCCUCCCUGCUUGGCCAAAGAGGGGGGGAAAUAAGGCGCUGGAAGGAAUAGGGCAGUUGAUUCCAUUCAGACAAACAACCAUUACACACAGUCCCCUCCUGGACCAGGCAACUUCGUACCCCCCUUUUCUGGGAUGCUAUCCUACUUUAAUGUUGCAUGAGGAAGUCUGCUGCUACCUGGAGCAGAUAGGAGAGGACAGGUUGGUGACAUGCAGCCCCGCCCAAUUUCGAAAGCCCUCUGCGGGUGAUCGGUUCAAAUUUCUAUCAAGAGAUAUUUUGGCACCUGAGGCGAACCACACGCAUCCUGCAGGGGAAGGAGGAGGAAAUACUUUGGGAACAAGGUGGGGAAUCAAUUCAUCUUACCUGAUGGUUGAAAUGGGAAUCAAAGGCUGUCAUGCCCCCCCCCCCCUGAAUCACGCUGGGUGUGGGCAGAACCCAGGAGACCCCAGAAGGCACUUUCUCCAUGGGGAGAGAGAAAACCUGCGGCUGAGAGGCUGCUGUAGAGGCAGCAUGGAAGGAGGCUGCUGAGGAGGCGGCAGAUCUGGAAUGUGUGGCAGUGGCAGCAGGCGAUGCAUUCUUUGGCAGCCUCUUUUGAUCCUGCCGCCCGAGGCAGUCAACUCACCUUGCCUCAUUGUUGGUCCAGUUCUGAAAAGCAGUAUGUUCUUCUUUCAGCAUUCUGCUGGGCAGGCAGGAAGAAGAACCAGAGUGGAGACACACGUGUCCUAUGUGCUUUACCUCACUUGUUGUUGUUUAGUCGUUUAGUCGUGUCUGACUCUUCGUGACCCCAUGGAUCAGAGCACGCCAGGCACUUCUGUCUUCCACUGCCUCCCGCAGUUUGGUCAAACCCAUGCUGGUAGCUUCGAGAACACUGUCCAACCAUCUCGUCCUCUGUCGUCCCCUUCUCCUUGUGCCCUCCAUCUUUCCCAACAUCAGGGUCUUUUCCAGGGAGUCUUCUCUUCUCAUGAGGUGGCCAAAGUAUUGGAGCCUCAGCUUCACGAUCUGUCCUUCCAGUGAGCACUCAGGGCUGAUUUCCUUAAGAAUGGAUAGGUUUGAUCUUCUUGCAGUCCAUGGGACUCUCAAGAGUCUCCUCCAGCACCAUAAUUCAAAAGCAUCAAUUCUUCGGCGAUCAGUGCAUUCCAAAUCCAUUAAAAUCUUUGCUCUCCAGUGAAUCCUGAGUUUACUUGUCAUUCUGGCACUAUAUUAACCCAAACGAUACUCCGGCUGAGGCCUUAUCUGAUCUGGGUAGAGCCCAAUACACAGUGCAGUAUUAUCUUAGUGCAACCUAAAAGUUGUUGGGAGAAAAGAGAAGAAUUUCUGUUCCAGGAAUGUAGGAGUCAAUCACUGCUGGAUGGAAAAUUGUGGAUUAGCCUUUUGCUCAACCGUCCCAAUGUGAAAGUGUGUUUUAUCCCUCUAUCCAGAAGAUGGCGCCAUUGUGCCACCAGGAACCAUUGGCUCCAUUGUUUUCACUGUCUGCCUGAGGUAAAAGGAUUUGUUUCCAUAACAAUGCCUCUGUUUGUGGACAUAUUGCUGCUGGAAAAGACAUCGUCUUGGACUGCGAUAGUCUACAAAGUAUUGAACUGCAAAGGCCAACAGCCCUGAGGUGAUAAAUCAGAAUCAUUGUUGAGGAAACAGUCGUCGUGCUUUCCUCCACCCUUAUAAUUAAUUGAUUUAGCGCUAUUUGCAUGGUUCUGGAGGAUGUUGGUGCAUCAUAGAACAAGAUGCAGAAAGCAAGUGGGGCAAUCUCUUUAAUGGGUGUCAGUUCAAGUUUACGAUGCAAAUAGCAAGCUGCCGAAUCACACAGAACUCUUCUUCAAGGGCACAACUUUCAUCAACCCUGACCAUUGCCCAUGCUGGCACCUCUGGUUAAUAGAGAGGGAAGGGUAGUCACCUCCUUUGUGUUUAUUAAUUAGCAGUCCCUCUGUCCAGCUAAUUAGUUUUACACACCAGCUAUUACAAUAUAAACAUCAGUAUGGGGUUAUGUGUAAUACUUACGUAUGCCAAUGGAAGCAAACCCUUUACAUGCAAAGUGUAUGUGUGUUUAAGAGAGAGAGAGAGACAGAGAGCACUCUAAGGUAAUGCACAUUAUUCUGUCCUCAUUUUUCCACAUCAGCCCUGUGAGGUUUGUUAGGCUGAGAGACUAGUGGCUAGCCUAAGGUUUCCCACUGAACUCCUUGGCUCAGUGGGGAUUUGAAAUUGGGUCUCCCCCUGGUUUUAGUCUAACAGCUUAAAACAGGGGUGGGAAGACUUUGACUUCUGUCCACAAUAGCCAGUCCAGACAAUGGUCAGGUCUUUAUUUAUUUAUUUAUUUAUUUAUUUAUUUAUUUGAUUUAUUUGUUAGAGCCCUUCAUCACAAGAGCACAAUUUAAAAAUACAGAGUAAAAGCACAAAUAAAUAGUUAAAACAAAAGCAACAAAGCAGUACCCCGCUUUGCAAAGACACAUUUAAAAGGCUGUAGAAUAUUAAUUAGCCCAAGGCCUGGUUGAAGAAGAACGUUUUCGCCUGGUGCCUAAAAAUCUAUACUGAAGGCUCCAGGGAACCUCCCUGGGGAGAGCAUUCUACAAAUGGGGAGCCACUGCAGAGAAGGCCCCGUUCUUGUGUUGCCACUCUCCAGACUUCUCGUGGAGGAGGCACAAGAAGAAGGGCCUCAGAGGAUGAUCUCAGGGUCUAGGUUAGUAUAUAUGGGGAGAGGCGGGCCUAAGCCAUUUCAGGUUUUCUAUGUCAAAACCAGCACUUUGAAUUGAGCCCAGAAUAGCUAAUUGGCAGCCAGUGCAGUCAGACCAGGAUCAGUGUAAUAGGCUCAAACUGUCUUGCCCUGGCCGCCAAAUUCUGCACUGGCUGAAACUCCCAAACCAUCUUCAGAGGUAGCCCUGUGCAUAACAUAUGUAGAGAGUUUUAGUCCAGCAACAUCUGGUGCUUUUGCUCAAUUUCCCUGUGGGAUGGUGAGCUAGAAAAGGCCAUUGGCUGGCCUGCUCCUGAGCGCCCUCUCUGGCCAUGGGGAGUCCUUGGUCCAAGCAAUGAAGCAGGUCGGACGUCUGCUAGCGUGCAGUUGGAGAAAGUCCCAGUGCAAAACUGCCGAAGCAGAGGCACAAGUGUGUAGCUGCUCCUACCAUAUGGCAGGUGGUAGCAAGGAGAGCAUAUCUUUCUGCCUCUGCUGCCUUGUCUGCUCAGAAGGAAGUUAUGCUGAGUUCAGAGGAGCCUUGCUCCCAGACAAGUCAGAAUAAGAUUGCAGACUUUGGCUGUUCUUGCAGGACUGAGCCGUGUGUUUCUGAGCAGGAAGGGAAACGAGGGGAAGUAAGUGGAAGAAGAAGAAGGAAGGAAGGUGGAGCGUGGCCAUCCUCUUCUGCAAAUCUAAAGGGCAAUCACCGUAUAAUCCAGGAGGGAGCUGGAGCCAGCUGCUCUUGAUAUCUCCACAGUUCCCUGCUAAUAGGGUGUCUUGUGUGUUUUUGCUCAUGUAAAGGGAAGAAUCAGAGUUGUGGUUUCCAGCUUCAUUAUAACAGGACAAAGAGAUUUGUUUUGAGCCAACCUGUGGCAAGCGUGAUCAGGUUGUUGUUGGUGUUUUGCUUGUGUGUGUGUUUUUGGUUGAUUCUCCCCCAUGCUGUUGUUGAAAAAUCUUCACAUUUGCUUUCAUGAGCUUAUAGCUAAUUGAUUCCUUUCUUGGGCUUGGACAGCUUGUUCCCAACCUGGUGCCCUCUGGAUGUUCUUGGACUCAAACUCCUAUCAGCCCCAGCCAGCAUGGGUAAUGUUUAGGGGUGUCUGGGAGUUACAGUCUAGCAAUUUCUGGGGGGAACCACAUUAGCUACUUCAGUUCUAUCAAAUGGUCCCUUUCCACAGAAAAGCGAGUUACCCAUUUUAGAAACAACCAAAUACGCUCACCGCAAAUGGCCGUGAUCCCUCCCACUGCUGCUUCCAUUAGCUGGCGCAAUUAAACACCUCUCCAGAUGACCUGCUCCUUAAUAAUAAUGCCCAGGCAGGGAAUGAGGAGAAAGCCUGACUCAUUCAUCAAGCAGCGAGCGAGGAGCAAAAGGGAGAGUUGGGAACCGGGAGCCCCAGAGAGGCAUGAAGGAAGAAUGAAAAGGAGUGGGAAGAUAAACAUGUACUGGAGACGCCAGGACGCUUUUUCCAAUAUACUAAUUAUUUUCUCAGACAAAACUCGCUUGGAACAGAGCCAUCUUUAGCCUGUAGGGGAAAGAGGUGCAAAUUUAAAUACAGACCCAUAGCAGAGAAGGAAAGCAGCGACAUCAGAGGUACCUUGAAGGAUGAAUUUCUCCCACAGUUUUCAUCCUGGGAGCACCCUGCUUUUGCUCCCUGCCUAUUACUACCUUAACAGAGCACAGAAUGUUUCACUUUCUCAGCAGGCAGCAUCCUGUGGGCCAAGGAACCAUAUCCAGCCCUAUAGCCCUCUCUGUCUGGCCCCUGAGACUCUCCCCAGGCAGGCCACACCACCUCCCUCAGGCCACAUCCCUCACCAACCUUCCCUUACCCCCUGAGGGAUUUGAGGGGGGGCUGGCUGGAAUGUGUCCCUGUACUCUGAUGGUGUCCAGAUACUUUCCUGGAUGGUGAUUAGAGGUGUGUGUGUGUGUGUGUGUGUGUGUGUGUGUGUGUAGAAACUUGCCUAUUGUAUACAAAUAUACUGUUGACAUUCAUUGCUCUGCCCACUUUUGACCUCUGGAUCCACUUGUUACUGGUGUGUGGCCCACAGAAAUUUCCCAGAAGCAAGUGCGGCCCUCAGAACUAAAAUAGUCGCCUGCCUCUUAUAUAGGGCUUCAUGGGGCUAUGAGGCUUCAAGUGUGCAAAGAUGACAUGUGAGGGAGGUGUGAGACGGCACUUUCCUGCCAUAUGUGGUGGGUGUUUAAGUCCUGCUUCCGCACCUGUCAUGGACCAGUAGGAGAGGAGGGAGGCCAAGAGGCAGAGAUGGGUCAGGCUGGUGAAGAAGCCAAGGUAUCUCCCCCUCCUGCUGAGAUAAGCUGCCCUCUUCUCUUGUCUUUCAGGACCAGGAGAGGUAUGAAGUGGGAGGAGCAAAGGAAGGCACGCUGGGGCAGUCUCAGAUUUCAUGGAGAAACCCUGGAGAGGAGGAGAUUUAGGCAGCUGAGGAAAGGUAGGAACCUUCAGUCUCCACAACUGCCACAUAGGGACAAGACCUAUCAGAGCUGAGUCGCUGUGC